rnacentral:lncRNA from 1 species
CCUUCCUGGAGGUGUCAGUGUUCAGGAGUGCAUGCAGGCAGGAGGGUGGCAGGAGGGGACCGGGUCGGAUCAAAUGGAGGGUAGGAGGUCAGAUGGACAAGUUAAGUGGAGGUGGAGGUCGUGUGUGUGUGGGGAGGUAGGGAGAGUUACGGCUAUCUUGGGCCCCUCACGUUCCCUCGCAAGUCUGACUGUUUGUCUGCCUGUCAAUAUCGUGCGUUGUUGCUGUCUUGACUGUGUCAAGCGCUGACGCUGACUGCGGCUGUGCGGGCCAUCCGGGCGUGCGGACUUCUCCUCCAUCUCGUCAUGCCGUGUCGAUUUGUGGACCCAAAAACGCAUGCGGUUUCGGGACUUAUGGAGCCAACAUAAGUGUAUGUAGCAUGCUCUAGGCGGCGCGUGCAAUUGCGGGUUCGCUUUCUUGGCCGUCCUUCAAAUGUGCACGCUCUUGUGAUUGGCCUGCACGGAAACGUGGUAGCCGUAGGCACACACCCGUACACACUCUUUUUAGGUAGACUUGUGAAAAAUCCGGCAAGAGCGUGCAGCAUUCGCCCUCCACCUUCCGUACUUUCCCAUGUGCAGUCUUUACCAUUCGCGCUGUCGUGCCCAGAUCGAUGACUUUGCCUUUCUCGGCACUGACGCGACUAGCUCCGUG